ACGUAGGGGGCAAGCGUUAUCCGGAAUUAUUGGGCGUAAAGAGUGCGUAGGUGGUUUUGUAAGCGCGGGGUGAAAGGCAAUGGCUCAACUAUUGUAAGACCUGCGAACUGCAAGACUUGAGUGCAGGAGAGGAAAGCGGAAUUCCUAGUGUAGCGUUGAAAUGCGUAGAUAUUAGAAUGAACACCAGUGGCGAAGGCGUCUUUCUGGUCUGUAACUAUCACUGAAGCACGAAAGCGUGUGGAGCAAACAG
rnacentral:rRNA from 1 species